rnacentral:rRNA from 1 species
AGAGUUUGAUCCUGGCUCAGGACGAACGCUAGCGGCGCGCUUAACACAUGCAAGUCGAACGCGGAGGGUUCCCGCAAGGGCGCCCCGAGCGUGGCGGACGGGUGAGUAUCGCGUAGGCAACCUACCCUCGAGUGGGGGACAAGCCCGGGAAACUGGGUCUAAUACCGCAUAUUGUCCCGAUUGGGCAUCCAAUCGGGAUGAAAGCCUUCGGGCGCUCAAGGAUGGGCCUGCGUCCUAUUAGUUUGUUGGUGAGGUAACGGCUCACCAAGACGACGAUGGGUAGCUGGUCUGAGAGGACGACCAGCCACACUGGGACUGAGAUACGGCCCAGACUCCUACGGGAGGCAGCAGUGAGGAAUCUUGCGCAAUGGACGAAAGUCUGACGCAGCGACGCCGCGUGAAGGACGAAACCUUUAGGGGUGUAAACUUCUUUUCCAGGGGAAGAAUGUCCACUACGGUGGAAGCGACGGUACCUUGGGAAUAAGCACCGGCUAACUCCGUGCCAGCAGCCGCGGUGAUACGGGGGGUGCAAGCGUUGUCCGGAUUUACUGGGUGUAAAGGGCGCGUAGGUGGGACGGUCAGUCGGGGGUGAAAGGUGCGGGCUCAACCCGCACAUUGCCUUCGAUACUGCCGUUCUUGAGUGCAGGAGGGGAUGGUGGAAUUCUUGGUGUAGCGGUGGAAUGCGCAGAUAUCAAGAGGAACACCGGUGGCGAAGGCGGCCAUCUGGCCUGACACUGACACUGAGGCGCGAAAGCGUGGGGAGCAAACAGGAUUAGAUACCCUGGUAGUCC